AUGCAUUUCUGUGAGGUCUUCUGUAUGCCUAGUCACGAUUCUUUUUUCUGUCAUUAUUAUGGUGAUGUACCAUUUUCAUCCACAUUUAAUCACUUAGUAUCUGGACAUAUCUUCAGCUCUCCAAAGAGGCCAAUAAAUCAGAGAAAUUUAACAGAUAGCCACUUAGCUUAUUAAAAGAAGAGAUUUAUGAGGGAAAAAAAAGGCAAGAGAUUUAUGAGGAAAUUGGGUAAUGCUAAACAUGCAGUUCUUCAAUAGUAUUUUAAUAAAAAGUGUUUUGAAAAAUCUUGCAAUAUUUAUGUGGUAUGUCACAGGAAUAAAGCUUCUUUAGCAAAAUUUUACCUGUAGAAAUUUUUGUCCCCAAGUUUCUUCAUGCACUUAAUUCUUAGUUUAAAUAUUGCCCUCUUUUAGCAAUUUUAAAGUGCAGACACUUUAGAAAAGAAAAUUGGGAAGAGAAAUGAUGCCGAUAAAAAACAUAGGCCAUUUGAAUAAUUAUUUGUUCCAACUACCAUAACAAGCAUGCAGGUCAUACCCCUAUAGAAUUAUCAUUCAAUCAGCUCUUCUUCACUGCUUGCCCAGUGAAGAGGCUGGACUCUGUACACGAAGUGAGAUUUAGAGGAUUUGCCGAGCUAGUAACAGGAUUCUGGAUUCCCACUUUCCAUGACCUCAGAAGUUGCUUUCUUUCUGUUGUUGAUGGUGCUUUUCCAUUUUUGCCUGAGUGUUUCACAUUCUUUCAGAUUCAUAUUCUGACUUUGGCCUUGUGGACCUUAUCCACACCUUGGUCUUGAUAAAAGCCUGCUAGUUCAGUGCAUCUGCCUAUAGUGCAGGAGACCAGACCACUGCAUCUGACUGCAAAGAAUCUGCCUGCAGUGCAGGAGACCUGGGUUUGAUCCCUGGGUCAGGAAAAUACCCGGGAGAAGGGCAUGGCAAACCAUUCCAGUAUUCUUGUGUGGAGAAUUCCUUGGACAGAGGAGCCUGGCAGGCUACAGUCCAUAGGGUUGCAGAGAAUCAGAUCUGACUGAACAACUAACACUUUCAUUUUCACACACAAUUCACAAUCCAGUGUAUACACCUUUACAUGAAGGCACAGACACACACCACACCACUGUUACCACUAUUAUCACUAUCACCAACUCCUAUGUAUUCCCCUGCCCCACUGUCUCCCCAUCCUACCCCCAUCUUAUUAAUAUUUUUCCAGAAAUUGCAGUUGUUGAUAAGAUUGAUUGCAGCAGUUUAGGAAAUAUACCCUUACCCCUGACACAUAUCUAGAGCCAUUCCUGUAAAAGUUCAUUUUCUUCAGCCAGUUGUUGGAUUAAAUGUACGGACAUGCCUCAUUUAACUGUGUUUGGCUUUGUUGUGUUUUGCUGAUAUCACUAUUUUUACAAAUUGAAGUUUUGUGGAAACCCUGAGGAAGUCUAUCAGCACCAUUUUCUCCAACAUUUGUUCGCUUCAUGACUGUGUCACAUUUUGGUAAUUCUCGCAAUAUUUUACACUUUUUCAUUAUUAUAUAUUUGUCAUGGUGAUCUGUGAUCAGUCAUCUUUGAUAUUACUAUUUUAAUUUUUCAGGAGCCACAAACUGUGCCCAUAUAAGACAGUAAACUUAAUUGGAUAAAUGUUGUGAGUGUUUUGAUUCUUUCAUCAACCAGCCAUUCCCUUGUCCCUCUCCCUCAGCCUCACUAUUCCCUGAGACACAAUAUUGAAAUUUGGUCUAUUAAUAACUCUGCUGUGGCCUCUAAGUGUUCAAGUGAAAGGAAGAGUUACAUGUCUCUCACUUUAAAUCAAAAGCUAGACAUGAUUAAGCUUAGUGAGGAAAGGAUGUUGAAAGCAGGAAAAAAACUAGGCUUCUUGUGCCAUUUAGCUAAGUUGUGAAUGCGAAGGAAAAGUUCUUGAAGGAAAUUAUAAGGAAAUUAUAAGAACACAUGAGUGACUAAAAAAAAAAGUGAAACAGCAUUAUUGCUGACAUACAGAAAAUGUUAGUGGUCUGGAUAGAAGAUCAGACUAGUUACAACAUUCUCUUAAACCAAAGCCCAGUCCAGGGGAAGGUCCUACUCUUUUCAACUCUAUGAAGGCUGAGCCAGGUCAGAAACCUGUAGAAGAAAAGUGUGAAGUUGGCAGAGGUUGUUCCUGAGGUUUAAGCUAAGAAGUCAUCCCCAUAACAUGAAAGUGCAAGAUGAAUCAGUAAGUGCUGAUAUAUAUAAGAGCUGCACAGUUAUCCAAAGG
rnacentral:lncRNA from 1 species